rnacentral:rRNA from 1 species
CACGACAGAUUGAGAGCUCUUUCUUGAUUUGGUGGAUGGUGGUGCAUGUCCGUUCUUAGUUGGUGAAUUGAUUUGUCUGGCUAAUUCCGAUAACGAACGAGACUCUAGCCUAUUAAAUAGGUGCGUGGUUCUCUGCACCUUGCACCCUUCUUAGAAAGACAAGCGGCUCCUAGCCACACGAAACAAAGCAAUAACAGAUCUGUGAUGCCCUUAGAU